rnacentral:lncRNA from 1 species
CUUAAAAUAAUUUCAUUUUCUAUUAUACAUUCUGAUCCUCUUUUGAAACCCUAAUGCAUCUCUCUCAAUUUCUUAUCCACCGUGAGCGCUCUCUUUCUCUCUCUCAGGCUCAUGCUAUCCUUCGCGCCUCCACCAUCCACCACCACAUCCAUCUUCCUUCAUCUCCGUCAUCUGCCACUCCCUACCAGCCCGUCACCUCUUCCCUCCUCAAACCUUGAGCUGCUUCGACUCCCCACGAUCUUCUGCUGCCAUCCGUCGUCACCUGCUUCGCCUCCGAGUGAACCCUAGCACCGGUGUGGCGCCAGAUCUAAGUUUAGGCGUCGAACUUAGUUUUGUCCAAGAUAUGAGUUUCUCCAGUUUCUUUGGUGGCGUCGAUCUGACUUUCUCCACUUCGCGCCUCCACUGUCUCCCUCCCCCUCCACCGUCGCGCUUCCAUCCCAUUUUGAGUAAAACUAUAGAAGCGGCCCGACGGCGGACUGAGUGUGUGAGCAGUCGUCCAUGGAGUAAUGGAACUUCGAAUUUUUGAUUUUUUUUUGUGGGUUUCGUUGAUUUUGUUCUAGGUUUCGUUGUUCUUGAUCUUCGUUAAUUUUUUAUCUUUGGUGACGCCACUGUUGAUUUAGUUCCGGGUUUCGUUGAUUUCGUUCUUGUUCUUGAUCUCAUUCUUGUUCUUGAUCUCAUUCUUGAUUUUGUUCUUGUUCUGGAUCUUCAAUUUUGUUUAGGAUAUAUUUAUGGAGUUUUUAUUAUUGCUUGGUGAAUUUCA